rnacentral:rRNA from 1 species
GCUAAACGCGAAGAACCUUACCAGGGCUUGACAUCCUUGGAAUUUCUGCGAAAGCAGAGAGUACUUUAUUGGACCAAGUGACAGGUGUUGCAUGGCCGUCGUCAGCUCGUGUCGUGAGAUGUUUGGUUAAGUCCAUCAACGAGCGCAACCCUUAUAGUUAGUUGAAUUUUUCUAGCUAGACUGCCCUGGCAACAGGGAGGAAGGAGGGGAUGAUGUCAGGUCAGUAUUACCCUUACGUCUGGGGCUACAAACACGCUACAAUGGCCGGUACAAAGGGCAGCCAACCCGCGAGGGGGAGCUAAUCCCAUCAAAGCCGGUCUCAGUUCGGAUUGCAGGCUGAAACUCGCCUGCAUGAAGCCGGAAUCGCUAGUAACGGUAAGUCAGUACAUUACCGUGAAUACGUUCCCGGGUCUUGUACACACCG